rnacentral:rRNA from 1 species
CCUACGAGUGGCAGCAGUGAGGAAUAUUGGUCAAUGGGCGGGAGCCUGAACCAGCCAAGCCGCGUGAGGGAAGAAGGUACAGCGUAUCGUAAACCUCUUUUGUCAGGGAACAAAGGCGGGGACUAGUCCCCGGAUGAGGGUACCUGAAGAAAAAGCAUCGGCUACCUCCGUGCCAGCAGCCGCGGUAAUACGGGGGAUGCGAGCGUUAUCCGGAUUUAUUGGGUGUAAAGGGUGCGCAGGCGGCGUGUUAAGUCAGCGGUAAAAGCCCGGGGGUAAACCCCGGCGAGCCGUUGAAACUGGCGGGCUGGAGUUGGAGAGAAGUAAGCGGAAUGCGGGGUGUAGCGGUGAAAUGCUUAGAUAUAGCGCAGAACCCAGAUUGCGAAGGCAGCGUACGGGCUCCACACUGACGCUGAGGAACGAAAGCGUGGGUAUCGAACAGGAUUAAUACCCGGGUAGUC